rnacentral:rRNA from 1 species
UACAGAGGGGGCAGGCGUUGUUCGGAAUUACUGGGCGUAAAGAGCUCGUAGGUGGUUUGUCGCGUUGUUCGUGAAAACUCACAACUCAAUUGUGGGCGUGCGGGCGAUACGGGCAGACUGGAGUACUGCAGGGGAGACUGGAAUUCCUGGUGUAGCGGUGGAAUGCGCAGAUAUCAGGAGGAACACCGGUGGCGAAGGCGGGUCUCUGGGCAGUAACUGACGCUGAGGAGCGAAAGCGUGGGGAGCGAACAGG